rnacentral:rRNA from 1 species
GGAUAACAGUUGGAAACGACUGCUAAUACCGCAUACGCCCUACGGGGGAAAGGAGGGGCUCUUCGGACCUUUCGCGAUUGGAUGUACCUAGGUGGGAUUAGCUUGUUGGUGAGGUAAGAGCUCACCAAGGCGACGAUCCCUAGCUGUUCUGAGAGGAUGAUCAGCCACACUGGGACUGAGACACGGCCCAGACUCCUACGGGAGGCAGCAGUGGGGAAUAUUGCACAAUGGGCGAAAGCCUGAUGCAGCCAUGCCGCGUGUGUGAAGAAGGCCUUCGGGUUGUAAAGCACUUUCAGCGAGGAGGAAAGGUUAACGGUUAAUACCCGUUAGCUGUGACGUUACUCGCAGAAGAAGCACCGGCUAACUUCGUGCCAGCAGCCGCGGUAAUACGAGGGGUGCAAGCGUUAAUCGGAAUUACUGGGCGUAAAGCGUACGCAGGCGGUUUGUUAAGCGAGAUGUGAAAGCCCCGGGCUCA